CCGAAAGGAGAAGUCCAAAGAGGACAAUAUUUGCUAGCACGGGAUUUGGGCUAUUACAAAUGGUAUCAAAGCCAGAUAUUGGACGAUGUGCUAGCCUUCUUGAUGUUCCCUGAAGGGGGUAGACACGAGGCGGUGGGCCCCAAAGGGGG